rnacentral:rRNA from 1 species
AUUGAACGCUAGCGGGAUGCCUUACACAUGCAAGUCGAACGGAGUGGCGAACGGGCGAGUAAUGUAUCGGAACGUGCCCAGUAGCGGGGGAUAACUACGCGAAAGCGGAGCUAAUACCGCAUACUAUUGGAGCGGCCGAUACCGGAUUAGCUAGUUGGGGGGGGAACGGCUCACCAGGGCGACGACCCGUAGCUGGUUUGAGAGGAAGACCAGCCAAACUGGGACUGAGAAACGGCCCAGACUCCUACGGGAGGCAGCAGUGGGGAAUUUUGGACAAUGGGGGAAACCCUGAUGCAGCCAUCCCGCGUGUGCGAUGAAGGCCUUCGGGUUGUAAAGCACUUUUGGCAGGAAGGCGGUACCUGCAGAAUAAGCACCGGCUAACUCCGUGCCAGCCGCCGCGGUAAUUC